UACGUAGGGUGCGAGCGUUGUCCGGAAUUAUUGGGCGUAAAGAGCUCGUAGGCGGUGUGUCACGUCGGCCGUGAAAACCUGGGGCUUAACUCUGGGCGUGCGGUCGAUACGGGCAUCACUAGAGUUCGGCAGGGGAGACUGGAAUUCCUGGUGUAGCGGUGAAAUGCGCAGAUAUCAGGAGGAACACCGGUGGCGAAGGCGGGU
rnacentral:rRNA from 1 species